rnacentral:rRNA from 1 species
UGGGGAAUAUUGGACAAUGGGCGCAAGCCUGAUCCAGCCAUGCCGCGUGAGUGAUGAAGGCCUUAGGGUUGUAAAGCUCUUUCAGCGGGGAAGAUAAUGACGGUACCCGCAGAAGAAGCCCCGGCUAACUUCGUGCCAGCAGCCGCGGUAAUACGAAGGGGGCUAGCGUUGUUCGGAUUUACUGGGCGUAAAGCGCGCGCAGGCGGAUGGGGAAGUCGGAAGUGAAAGUCCGGGGCUCAACUCCGGGUACGCUUCCGAUACUCUCUGUCUAGGGACCGGUAGAGGCCGGUGGAAUUCCCGGUGUAGCGGUGGAAUGCGUAGAGAUCGGGAAGAACACCAGUGGCGAAGGCGGCCGGCUGGGCCGGAGAUCCGCAGAGGAUCGAUCCGACGCUGAGGCGCGAAAGCGUGGGGAGCAAACAGGAUUAGAUACCC